UACGUAGGUGGCAAGCGUUGUCCGGAUUUACUGGGUGUAAAGGGCGUGCAGCCGGGAAUGCAAGUCAGAUGUGAAAUCCCGCGGCUCAACCGCGGAACUGCAUUUGAAACUGUGUUUCUUGAGUACUGGAGAGGCAGACGGAAUUCCUAGUGUAGCGGUGAAAUGCGUAGAUAUUAGGAGGAACACCAGUGACGAAGGCGGUCUGCUGGACAGCAACUGACGGUGAGGCGCGAAAGCGUGGGGAGCAAACAGG
rnacentral:rRNA from 1 species